rnacentral:rRNA from 1 species
CAACCUGCGGUAAAGGGCCCAGCUUUGCUGGGUUCCUCCGAGUUGGCGAACGGGUGAGUUAACACGUUGGGUUGAUCUGCCCCUGACUUUGGGAUAAGCCUGGGAAACUGGGUCUAAUACCGAAUAUUCAUUUUUCCUCGCAUGGGGAUUGGUGGAAAGCUUUUGCGGUUGGGGAUGGGCCCGCGGCCUAUCAGCUUGUUGGUGGGGUAAUGGCCUACCAAGGCGACGACGGGUAGCCGACCUGAGAGGGUGAUCGGCCACACUGGGACUGAGACACGGCCCAGACUCCUACGGGAGGCAGCAGUGGGGAAUAUUGCACAAUGGGCGCAAGCCUGAUGCAGCGACGCCGCGUGAGGGAUGACGGCCUUCGGGUUGUAAACCUCUUUCACCUCCGACGAACCGCAAGUGACGGUAGGAGCAGAACAAGCACCGGCCAACUACGUGCCAGCAGCCGCGGUAAUACGUAGGGUGCAAGCGUUGUCCGGAAUUACUGGGCGUAAAGAGCUCGUAGGCGGUUUGUCGCGUCGUCUGUGAAUUCUGCACCUUAACUGCAGGCGUGCAGGCGAUACGGGCAGACUUGAGUACUACGGGGAGACUGGAAUCGGUCUAC